GACACUAUAGCUUAGUGGUUGAGCAUACGAUUGCAACUUGCAGAGUUAUCGUGAGGUCCCGUGUUCGAGCCACGGUAGUGUCU